rnacentral:rRNA from 1 species
CAGUCGCCGCGGUAAAACGGAGGGAGCUAGCGUUGUUCGGAAUCACUGGGCGUAAAGCGCGCGUAGGCGGUUACUCAAGUCAGAGGUGAAAGCCCGGGGCUCAACCCCGGAACUGCCUUUGAAACUAGGUAACUAGAAUCUUGGAGAGGUCAGUGGAAUUCCGAGUGUAGAGGUGAAAUUCGUAGAUAUUCGGAAGAACACCAGUGGCGAAGGCGACUGACUGGACAAGUAUUGACGCUGAGGCACGAAAGCGUGGGGAGCAAACAGGAUUAGAUACCCCCGUAGUCCCUGUCUCUUAUAC